rnacentral:rRNA from 1 species
UUUAGUUUUUGUGGGCAUUCGGUGGAUGCCUUGGUACCAAGAGCUGAUGAAGGACGUGGCGGCCUGCGAUAAUCCUUGGGGAGUUGGCGAGCGAGCGUUGAUCUGAGGGUGUCCGAAUGGGGGAACCUGGCUGGGGUUGUGCCUGGUCACUAUCAUCUGAAUUCAUAGGGUGGUAGGGGGAACGCGGGGAAGUGAAACAUCUUAGUACCCGUAGGAGAAGAUAUUUCGUGAGUAGUGGUGAGCGAAAGCGGAUGAUGGCUAAACCGUGUGCGUGUGUGACUCGGCGGGGGUUGCGUGUGCGGGGUUGUGGGGCUCUUUUUUCUCAUCUUCUGCCGGGGGUGGGGGUGUGUGCGUGUGCGUGUGGUGAACAUCUUGGGAUGGGUGACCGAAGUAUCGUGAUAGUCGUGUAGCUGUGUGUGUGCGUGUGUGCCAAGGGGGUGCCCGAGUAGUGCGGGGCUCGUGGAAUCUCGUGUGAAUCUGCCAGGACCACCUGGUAAGCCUGAAUACUUUUUGGUGACCGAUAGUGCAUAGUACCGUGAGGGAAUGGUGAAAAGUACCCCGGGAGGGGAGUGAAAUAGUGCCUGAAACCGGGUGCCUGUAAGCCGUCAGAGCCUGCUUUUGUUGGGUGAUGGCGUGCCUUUUGAAGAAUGAGCCUGCGAGUCAGUGAUGCGUGGCGUGCUUAACCCGUGUGGGGGAUGCGUAGCGAAAGCGAGUCUUAAUUUUGGGCGUGUGUCGCGUGUUGUGGACCCGAAGCGGGGUGAUCUACCUAUGGUCAGGGUGAAGCUAUGGUAAGACGUGGUGGAGGCCCGUACCCACCAGGGUUGAAAACCUGGGGGAUGAACUGUGGGUAGGGGUGAAAGGCCAAUCAAACUCCGUGAUAGCUGGUUCUCCCCGAAAUGCAUUUAGGUGCAGCGUCACACUGGGCUUGGUGGAGGUAGAGCUACUGGUUGGUUGAUGGGCCGUGUUGGUUACUGACGUCAGCUAAACUCCGAAUGCCAUUUCAAGUGGGUGUGGCAGUGAGACUGCGGGGGAUAAGCUUCGUGGUCGAGAGGGAAACAGCCCAGAUCAUCGGCUAAGGCCCCUAAGCGUGCGCUGAGUGGGAAAGGAUGUGGAGUCGCGUUGACAGCCAGGAGGUUGGCUUAGAAGCAGCCAUCCUUGAAAGAGUGCGUAAUAGCUCACUGGUCGAGUGGUUGUGCGCCGAUAAUGUAGCGGGGCUUAAGCGUGCCGCCGAAGCCGUGGCAAUAACUUUUUGUUUUUGGGUAGGGGAGCGUCCUGCUCUGGGUGAAGCUGCCUGGUGAUGGGUGGUGGACGGGGUGGGAGUGAGAAUGCAGGCAUGAGUAGCGUUUCGUGGGUGAGAAUCCUACGCGCUGAUUGACUAAGGGUUCCAGGGGCAGGUUUGUCCGCCCUGGGUUAGUCGGGUCCUAAGGCGAGGCCGACAGGCGUAGUCGAUGGGUGACCAGUUGAUAUUCUGGUACCGUUUGUUUUCCGUCUGACGCUGCAUGCUUUCGCGUCGUGUGCUUGCCGUGCGUGGUGUUGUCUUUCGGGAUGAUGCUGUUGUGUGGCUGUGUGUGGUGUGGGGUGUGUGGUGAGCAUUGGGGUGACGCAGGGAGGUAGUUGCUGCACACUGGUGGUUAUGUGUGUCUAAGGUUGUGGCCUGUUUCUUGGGUGAAAUCCGGGAAGCUGCGUUUGAUCGCGUGGGUGAGGGCUGAUGGGGCUGCCUGUUGGGGUGGCUAGUGGUGAUCCUGUACUGCCGAGAAAAGCCUGGAUGUGAGGAAGAUGAGCGCCCGUACCCUAAACCGACUCUGGUGGUCAGGUAGAGUAUACCGAGGCGUGCGAGUGAAUCAUGGUUAAGGAAUUCGGCAAAUUGCCCCCGUAACUUUGGGAUAAGGGGGGCCCUGCUGGUGUGCCUGCUUUUGCGUGGGUGGUGCUGGUUGGGGUCGCAGAGAAUUGGGAGAAGCGACUGUUUAUUAAAAACAUAGGUGUGUGCUAAGCCGUAAGGCGCUGUAUACGCACUGACGCCUGCCCGGUGCUGGAAGGUUAAGAGGACGACUUAACUGCUUUUUUGUGGUGAAGGUUUGAAUUUAAGCCCCAGUAAACGGCGGUGGUAACUAUAACCAUCCUAAGGUAGCGAAAUUCCUUGUCGGGUAAGUUCCGACCUGCACGAAUGGAGUAACGAUUUCCCUACUGUCUCCACCAUGAACUCGGUGAAAUUGCAUU